UACGUAGGGUGCAAGCGUUGUCCGGAUUUACUGGGUGUAAAGGGUGCGUAGGCGGCUUGCUAAGUCGUAGAUGAAAUGACGGGGCUCAACGUCGGCGCUGUUUGCGAUACUGGCAGGCUAGAGCGAACAUGAGGCAGCUAGAAUGAGUGGUGUAGCGGUGAAAUGCGUAGAGAUCACUAAGAAUACCAAUGGCGAAGGCAGUUUGCUGGGGAUUAGCUGACGCUGAGGCACGAAAGCGUGGGGAGCAAACAGG
rnacentral:rRNA from 1 species